ACCUAUGAAAAGCUUCAGAAUUGUAUUUCCCCACAUCAUUUAUUUUCUUUGGGCUGCCGAGUCUUUCUCCCAUGCUUCAUGCUCUGGCUGCGGUGAGCUGAGAGAGAACAGGACACGCCUAAAAAACCCUAAAGUGUCUCUGGUGGCCGGUGUCAGUUGUGCACAGAGAUUGUGGUCCUUGGCCCCGACCCAAGGAUUAGGUGUUCCAGGGAAGAGAGAUUUCUUGGCCCUUGCCAAUCCCCAAGAGUGCUCUGGGAAUUGUGUGUUUGUGUAUAUGUGCUUUUCCCUCCUCCCUCCCCACCUCCUCUGCACUUGAGUUUUACGCCAUCUUCCUCCUCCUCCUUAAAAUGCCCACGAGCAUGCGGAUGGCAUAAUCAGGGCCUGCCCUGGCUGGGUGGGUUUAAAAAGACUGACAAAAUGUAGCUUGGAUUGUGAAAGGGGACAAAUCUAGUAAUAUAGUCAAACUGAGUGGGAGAGUGAGAAAGGGGGGAGAGAGAGAGUGAGCAGUCGAAUAAGUGAACGGUGGGGGAUCUUGGGCAAAGGAGGUAAGACAGGAUAUGAAAACAAUGGACUCAUUGUAGAGAGAUGAUAGAGGGAUGAGAAGGAGAUCGGUGGAACACAGCACCAUCUACAGGCUGAUAGAGCACACCAUCAGAUGAUCACCGGAGGAUGGCCAGAAGUGACCGUUUUGUAGCCCCGCCACCUUUCCUGUGCCAAAAAUGCCAACUGUAACAACAAAAAGUGGCAGAUGCCAAGGGAAUCCCAGACGAAUGACCUCCGUAAAGCCGGCCUACCAAAGAGAAGCAAAUAUUUACCCUGCGUGUUUGAACCCAUGGCGCGGUGCCACGGCUGCCCCUCAGAGCACAUACCGGCCCGAUAGGCUUACUCGUCCUCCAACUUUACUCCCUGGGUACAUCCUAUAUGACGCCAGAAAAAUCUUCUCGAUUUUCAACCAUCACAUCAUAGAGCGGAACAUGAUGGACAGGGGUGGGUUUAAGAGAUGUUAAAAGAAUAUUCCAGGUCCAGCACAUCCCAGAGCUCAGCCGCCCUGAGACCAAAGCCUCCUUACGGGACACUGACUUCAAAGUCCAUUUUGGAAGGACUGAUCUGAAGAACGCGAACCGGUCUCUGAUAACCAACAGAGCAGUCGGGAUCAGUGGAGAAGCCACCAAAUGAGAUCUCCUGGGCAUCAAACACACACAAUACAUAAAAUAUGUGCAUAUCAUAUUAAUGUGCUGUUCUAUUCUUAUGUUGAGGUGAAGCUGGAUGGAAUAUACUGACUGUCUUGACUGUGAAUUACUUGUGCUUGAUUAACUCAGUAGUAAACAGUUUUACAUGGAAAACAUA